ensembl:lncRNA
CUCGCUCUCACACACACAUACACAGACACACACAUACUAACAUACUCCCAUACACACUCGCUCUAACACACACACACACACACACACACACACACACACACAUACUAACACACUGCAAUACACACUCUCUCACACACACACACACAGGCACACAUAUACACACACACACACACACAUCCGAACCAUCUCAGUUCUUCUGGAGUGUUGGCUGCUUAAAUUAAAGUGAAUUUGUUCCUCGGCGAGUUUACAACCCCCCCCCCCCCCCCCCCCCUCCUCAGACUGGAAUACGCUUAAGCAGCGCCAGGCCAAAUGAAUUGACAUUUAAAUAAUCCUAAUCGCUUUUUUUUUUCUCGAGUGCUGUAGUUAACCUCUCCAGAGGCAGAGAGAGGCCUCCUCAGAGUUCUUUUUUUUUCUUUUAUUUCUUCUUCUUUUUUUUUUAACAUCCUUUUCCACAUCGACGGCCGAACUGAAAGCACAGCCCUUCUUAUUGUUCAUAGUCCUUCUAUUUCACCAUGGCCUGUCUAGAGCACUCAAGACGUCUCUACCUCCUUAGUGACAAAAAUGGGAAAUGUGAAAUCAAAAAAAAAAAAGAGAGAAUAGAUUACAAAAUCGUCUGAGAGCCGGCGAACAAGAAAGAAAAAGAAGGAAAACCUUGACGGGCGAGACAUUGUGAUUGGAGGACAUAAGUAGAGUCAGCAAAAGUGGUGGUAAUGUGAACUUUUAAAGCUUUAAGCUCUGGACGGCCCCAGCACCAGUUUGCUGCAGGGCCCAGCCUGUGGUAUCAGAAAGCAGCACUCAACUGGAAACGUGAAAGUGGCAGGUCCGGGUGCAUUCGGAUCCAGGCCUCGGUGAGUUAAUAGAGCUGACACGGACCAGGGGGAGACGGGGAGGGAGUGAGGGGGGAUGUGAGCACCACUGGCUGCAUGGAUGGAUGUGCUAAGCCCCCACCCCCACCCCCAACGGUAAUGAGGCCACUCUCCGGUGUGGUGACCUCUUGACCCUUCUCGUCUCAGAGCCCAAGUGUCAUCUAAUAAGAUUCAUUACUUCUCAGGGCUGCCUCUGCAACCUCCUCCCCUGUCC